UGUUAUAGCCCCCGUAGUAGCUAACAUAGCCUCCUUUAUAGAGAAUUUAUACUUAUCUCUAUUUUUUGUCUCUCCUCCUUGAUCGUACUUUCCACCAUCUCCUCUUCUUUUUCUCUACCUUCCCCUGUAUUUAUCCAUUCCACCACCAAUCUACGUCUUCCAGAAUAAACUGUUGUCAUACCAAACAACUCUCUGGUUAUUUCCCUAAUGCAAUUGGCUAUCUUUUCCCACAUACUAUCUAUAUCCCUACUACUCUCCCAUGACUCCAUGUCUAUGAACUUUUUCCCUAUCUCUAAGGCACUUGCCAUAGUCAAGUUACCACAUUUGAUACUAGGAUGAUCAUCAAAAAGCCUCUUCCUCCUCGUCUUCUUAAUAUCUAAAUCCAUCACCAAAAGCGCAUGUUGGGUUAAAAGAUUCUCACUUAGAAUAACCUUACAGUCUUUACAAAGAUAUUUAUCCUCUGUCCCAAGGGAAAAAAUUCUAUUUGUGUCUUGUCCACUGAACUAUGGAAGGUAACCAAAUGCUUCUACUUCUUGGGGAAGCUGGAGUUUUCUAUCCUCAAUUCGAAGGCUCUAGCAAAAUCCAAAGGUGAAGCUCUUACUUCAUUCAUAUAUCUGAAACCAAAGCCUCCAUGUACAUCUUGAUAACCCCUCAGAUAUGAAAAGAUAUGCCCAUUAAAAUCUUUCCAUAAGAAUAACAAUAGUCUUAUUAAUCAAAAUGAAUAAUCUUAGUUUUAGCAAUUCAUGUGCCUGUUAUUUGGAUUUCCCAGUUAUGGUGAUGGUACACUUGGGGUUAGUCUGAGUGAUAGUCAAGAAUGCACGAAUAUGAAGCUACUACUCAACCAAUAAUAAAAGGUACCUAUGUUUGUUAUAUUCAUGAAAUUGGUUAAGGUUUACCGCAUAGACAAGUAAUUAUUAUAGGCCUACUCUAUCGAGGUUAUCAAUUUCUGCAUUGAAGUUACUUAUCUAGUGGGAAUUAAGCAUUUUUUUAACAUUGAUUUUUUUAUUCUGAACAUUUUUGUGUGCUCUUGAAGUAUAUGAGUUUCUUUUCGUAGUCCUUUUUGUUCAAUUUCUUUGUUGGCUAAAUAGUUUGAGUCAAUUCUUAAAAAUGUUUUUGGCAUGGUCCUGGUUGGCAAUAAUGCAAUUUUCCUCAUUCUCUAGUACCUUGAUAUGAUGGUCCAUUCCAAAUUAAUUAAUUAUGUGGUUAACAUAUUGUAAUUAAUAACUAUAGUUCGGUAUUGCACAUAUCAACUGAGUUUUUGUUGUAAUCAGUCAUCAUAGUGAAAAGUUGUUGGUUCCUUCUCCUUUCCCACCUUCACUGUGGUGUUCUAAGUUAAUAAAAGAAUGAAAGUUGCAAAUUUCACUUCUAGGCUGCUCAGAUACCUUAUAUUCAUCUACAGGUUAUUCUUGAAAGAUCUGUCAUUUAUGGUUGGGGAGCUUUUCUUACAUUUUAUGGCCGAGGAGCUUUUAUAAAGGUAAGAUCUAAUAAAUUUAUAAAGCAGAAACAUGUUUCUUUGUGCCUCACUUUAAGCAUUACUAUCUGAAUACUGUUAAUACUGUUGGAAAACAUGUAUACCUUGGGGAAUACACCGGUGAAUUAAUUUCACACCAUGAAGCUAACAAGAAUGGCUUGAUUUAUGAUCAUGAAAAAUCUACAUUUCUCUUCAAUCUUACUUUUCAUACAUGAGACAUGACACCCUGUAUACUCGAUUUAUAUUUAGUUCUAUCUCAUCCACCAUGUCAUAAGAAUAAAGUAUCUUUUGUAUUGCUGCAGUUUGUGCUUGAUGCACAUCAGAAAGGUGAUAAACUAAAAAUUGCAGACCAUUCUACUUUUCCAAAUUGCUAUGCUAAGGUUGUUAAAUUUUCAUAAAAACUUCCAAGUCAUGGUAGAAUUCAUGUUUGCUUAUUGCCAAAUUAACUCUAGAUAGGUCAUGAUGGUGUCUGGUGAUCACAAGUUGAUAUCUUUCAAUGAACGAAUUUUUGUGGGAGAAGAACUCUUUAUGGCUAUCAUUAUGAGCCAAACAGUGCACCCGCAUGGCAAGGAAGCCUAUGGCAUCCAGUACUAGGAAAUGGGAUGAUGCUCCUUCAAGUGGUCGUGCUAGGAAGCAUUCUUUAUUGAGCGCCCAUUUAACUAAUUUCUUGAUCUAUUAAUUAUUAUUCUUUUUAUUCCAUAACUCUUCUGUUGAUGACCAUCAAAUGAUACUUCUAAUCAAUUUAUUCCUGAAGAGGCCAUCUUAAUCUCCAUGAUAAUUGAUCAUAGACAUUUUUCUUCUUGACUAGGCCAUUCCAGCUUUUAGAAUAUAUUUGAGUUGGAAAAUGAUUACAGGCUUAGUAGCUUCAUUUUCCAAAUCAUAUUGAAAUCUUGUAAAAUCGGAUCUUGGAGGGGGGGCGAGGUGUUGGCGAAUAGAAUGUUCAUAUCAGAACUAAUACCAGUACAAGUGAAAUUGGUAAAAAUCAAUACUGGUUUACUUUCAAUAAAAAUAGAAAAUUAACUAAAUAGACUACAGUAGGAAAUAAUUAAGAAAAAUACUAAAUUCCACUAGCUCAUUCACUAAAACUAUAUUAAUAAGAAUACACACACGCACUCUUUUGAAUGAAAUAAACCUGGUAUUUCCUUAAAAUAUGACUUUAAUUUUUGUAAUUAGUUUUAUAAAAAUUAUUUUCUUAAAAUGAUAUAUAAAUCUAAAAUUUAUGUUAAUUUUGUGAUACACUUUCACUAUAUGAGAUAUACCACAUAGAUAUCAUAGAGAACAGAGAAAUCUUGAAGCUGACCUAAAUAACAGCUUUCGAUUAUAUAGAUAUAUUAUGAUCGUAUAUGAGAGCACUGGGAAAUUUUUUAGGGACAAAAUAAGCAUACCCCAAUGGUACGAGAAAUCCUAUUAAAGGACCAAAGAAGACCUCAAUGAUAUCAUGUAAGAAAUAAAUAUACUGUGAUAGUAUUUCUAAAGGACUGAAGCAGACUGCAGUGAUAUGCUGAUAGUCAGUAGUUGUGCUAGUACAUGUGUCACGAUCCGAACUGAGGCCCUAACCGUAACGAGUAUCCCAAACCCUGAAGGCCCCAACACCCUUCUAUCUUGAAAUCAUAUACACCAUUCAUACGUAAAUAACAAAAUAUGAAAAUUAUAUCAAGGCAAAGUCAUGGUCAUAAAUCAGAUAUGAAUUUAGAGUUGGAGAACGAAAUCUAAAACUAACUAGCAACAUCUGCAAACCAUCUGUGAAAUCUCUGCUCAUACUCUCUAAAAGAAUUUGAAAGCUGGGACAAGGCCCCUUGUAGACCAAAAUCGUAACGACUAAUAAUUGUCUGAAAAUAAACAGGCCUUCUGAAAUAUAGAAGGCUCACCAACUGAACACUGGAACUCUGACUAAUGAGAUAUACUGCUUAUCUGUACUCCUAGACUGAGCCUCAGAACCUCAGAGGUAGGGGGAGGGCGGGAAAUAUAAUUGUAUUGGUAUGCAAAGUAAUCCAAAAUAAAGCUUGUAUAUAUAUAAAAUAGUUGGAGAUAAAAUUAUCAAAAUAUCAUACAUAGAAUAGUUCUAAAAUACAUGGGCAUUUUCUGAGAUCAUAAAUCCUUCUUGUCAAUGCAAUGUCUGAUCUUUGUAUUACUUCUGAGUGAGGUGGCACUCCCCUACAAGUGUGACAUUCCACGGGGUAUAUGGAUUCCUUCAUUUGACUCGGCGGGAAAGCCCCUAACCCAAGUGUACCGCAAAGGUUGGAGUGUCUGAGUCUGAUAUGCCAUAGGGCACUAGGCCAGCGUAUAAUAAUAUACUCGGAUCGGAAAAUCACAGUUUUAGGAAAUGAGUUGUCUGAACUCACCCCUUCUUCAGGGAACCACCUGCCAUCUCUUUAUGCUGAAUUUGAACCUGUUCUGAAUAUGAGUCAUUCUAAAGUCUAAAUCAUGAAAAUCUGAUAAAGUCUGAUUACUGUAUUAGUAUGAGUCUGUUAUGGUAUUAUCUGAUUUGGUAUAGUCAUACCAAGACUUGCAAAUUGUAAUUUUGAGACAUAAUGCAUUAAGCAUGAUCUUUCAUAAAAACAUAACUUAUACUACCCAAAUAUGCAAUUUAACAAGGAGAAUUCAUGUUUCGAAAAUAUAAGUCAAAACUAUGCAAAAUUCCCAUACUUUCAAUAAACAAGUGGUGGUCAUGUAAUCUUUAAAAAAUCAUGCAACUCUUCUCAUUAUAUGAUUAUGUUCAGCAUUCAUCAACAUAAACAACCCUCUCUCUUUUGAAAUCAAAAUCAUAAUCCAAAUAUAAUAUUAUUCAACACAUUUCAUAACCUGCUUUUCAAGAUGCAUUCAAAACAAUUCAUAGCAUAUCAUAAGUAAAGGAAAAAUCAUAACAAGAGAGGGAUUUUUCAUGAGUCAUGCUCUCAAUUGAAUCAUCAACCCUAAAACACAUGCUUACAUAUAUAAUUUCGAAUCAAUUUAGGGGAAGGCCUAAAGACCAAAACAAUUCCAUCAAGUAUUCUAAAACAUGAUUAUAUUCAUAAAUCUAAAAACCACUUUCUUAAAAUCAUGAUUUCUAUGCCCAUGAGAUUUUUUGGAAAACCCCGCGUACCUCUAUUUAGGAAAUUAAAAGGUGCUUCUUGAUGCCUAUGGCUUAGGGAUUCUAAAUCUCUAAUUUGUUUUGAAAACUCACGGUUAAGUCUUGAGUUAUUAUGGAUUCUUGUUUGAAAUCCUAGGGAGAGUUCUUGAUGGAUUUUGGUGAGAGUAGUUGCAUUAUGCUGUAAUAGGGAUUAAAUCCCGUGUUCAAGAUGUUAAGGGGUUGGAAAAUACCCCAAAUACCCUUAAUGAGACCUGUAUUAAAAUAUAACUGGGAGCCUGAUUUCAUGGGCGACAGCGACAUGCAACUAUAGCGGUGGCUCACUAGAAAUUGACGAAUGGGAAUUUGGCCCACUCCACGACGCGCCACCAUCGCGGAGUCUCACUGAAAAUUGACCAUCAUUAUUUAAAACCUCUCCGCAAUGUGCCAAGGAUAGGAAUAAUGGUGUUUUACAAUUAGGACUUAAAUUAACCAUAACUCCUUCAACGAGUGUCCAUUUUGGACGAAUCUUAUGUCACUAAAAAACUUAUUAGAUCAUUACAUAAUGAAAAGUUGAAAUCUAUGGAAUUCCACAGGGAAAUAAGUAUAAAUCAUUAAAGAAGCCAACACUUGAUACUUUAGGGAUAAAAAUUCAUCUAGGAAAAACUUCAGGGCAUUACAAUACACCCCCCCUUGGGAACAUUUGUCCCCGACUGUUUACUCGGGACAUAGAAAAGCAUAAUUUCAAGCAUUCUAAGGCAUAGAAAUAAUAAGGAAAGGAUUGUACCUUCCAAUUCGUCAUCCAUUGGAUCAAAAAGGUUUGGGUAUCCAGCUCUCAUGUCAACUUCUGAUUCCCAAGUUGCUUCUUCAAUUAUCUGAUUUCUCCACAACACUUUAACUAAGUCUAUCUAUUUGUUCCUCAAUCUUCUAACUUGGCGAUCCACAAUUUCUACAGGUUCUUUUUCAUAAGUUAAGGAGUCUGGCACUUUGAUUUCUUGGACAGUCAAGACUAAAGAAUGGUCUCCCAUGCACUUCUUCAACAUUGAUAUAUGAAAUAUCGGAUGAAUAGAACCCAAACUGGCAGGCAAUUCCAACUCAUACGUAACACCACCUAUCCUUCUCACAAUCUGGUAUGGUCCUACAUAGAGAGGACUUAGCACCUUUUUUCCCAAAUCGCAUAACUCUCUUCAUGGGGGAAACCUUGAGAAACACCCAAUCUCCAACCUUAAACUCUAGAUAUCCUCUCCUAACAUUGGCAUAGGAUUUAUGAUGAUUUGAGCUAUCUUAAGUUGUUUUCUAAUGACUUUCAGAUUCUCCAUUGCUUGAUGAACAAGAUCAGUCCCAAACAUCUGUGUCUCAACUACUUCAUACCACCCUAUUAGUGACCUACAUCUUCUCCCAUAUAAUGCCUCAAAUGGUGCCAUCUUAAUACCAUAAUGGAAACUAUUAUUAUACACGAACUCUAUUAGGGGAAAGUACUCCACCCAACUACCUUUAAAAUCAAUCGCAGAGGCCCUCAACAUGUCCUCAAGGGUCUGAAUGUUGCACUCAGCCUACCUAUUAGUCUGAAGGUGGAAAGCAUUGCUUAGGUUCACUUGGGUACCUAAACCACUCUAAAAAGAUUUCCAAAACUAAGAAGAAAACUAUGUAUCUUGGUCGGAUAUAAUGGAAAUAGGUACCCCAUGCAAAUGAACUAUUUCUGCAAUGAACAGCUUAGCAUAAUCCUCUCCCGAAUAGUUAGUCCUGACAGGCAGAAAGUGGGUUGACUUGACUAGCCUAUCCAUAAUUACCCAUAUAGAAUCAUAUUGGUUUCGGGACUUCGGAAGUCUUGUAAUGAAGUCCAUAUUAACUAUCUCCUACUUCUACAAGGGUAAAAUUACCUUUUGGGAAGAACCACCUGGCCUCAUAUGCUCUACUUUAACUUGUUGGCAAUUCAAACAAUUGGAAUCAAAGUUAGCCAUAUCACGCUUCAUAUUAUUCCACCAAUACAUAGAUUUCAGAUCAUGGUACAUCUUAGUAGAGCCAGGGUGAACAACAUACCUAGACAUGUGAGCUUCGUCAAGGAUUCUCUUUCUCAGACCAUCUACAUCUGGCAUACACAACCUACCCUGGUAUCUCAAAAUACCAUCACCACCAAUUUCAAAUGACAUUGCCUUUUAUUAACCCACAUCUUUCUUGAUUUGCAUUAAGAUGGGAUCUUCAACCUGCUUCUCUUUAGCCUCUACCUAAAGAGAAGAUUUUGCUAUUUCAUGAACAACCACUCCUCCAUCCUCGAAAUCCAAAAGUUGUAUUUCUAGAUUUGUAAGUCAGUGAAUAUCCUUCACUAUCUCCCUGUUUUCUUUGCCUACAUGAGAAAGACUACCAUAGAUAACCUACUAAGGGUGUCGGCUACCAUAUUUGCCUUACUCGGAUGAUAGUGCAGGCUCAUAUCAUAGUCUUUUAAAAGUUCCAACCAUCGCCUCUGCUUGAGAUUUAAUUCUUUCUGUGAGAAAACAUACUGUAAACUUUUGUGGUCAGUAAAAAUAUCAAUAUGUACCCUAUACAAAUAGUGCCAACAGAUUUUACAUACAAAAACCACAGCUGCUAACUCCAAGUCAUGAGUAGGGUAGUUCCGCUCAUGCACCUUCAACUACCUAGAUGCAUAAGCCACUACCUUACCAUGCUACCUAAGAACACACCUAAGUCCCGCUCGGGACUCAUCACAAUAUACAACAAAACCUUUUGUACCCUCCGAAAGGGUUAAAAUAGGAGCAGUACUCAACUUUUCUUUCAACUUCUUAAAAUUAUUAUCACAAGAGUCAGACAACAAAAACUUUACCUUUUUCUGAGUCAACUUAGUAAGCGGUGCAUCUAUGGAAGAAAAACUCUCUAUGAACCUUCUGUAAUAACCAUCCAAACCCAAGAAUCUCCGAAUGUCGAUUGGAGUGACAACAUCUGGUGAGGCCUCUACCUCCUGGCAGUGACCAAAACAAUUCCAUCAAGUGUUCUAAAACAUGAUUAUAUUCAUAAAUUUAAAAAUCCCUUUUUAAAGUCAUGAUUUCUAUUCCCAUGAGAUUUUUAGGUAAACCCCGCGUACCUGUAUUUAUGAAAUUAAAGGAGGCUUCUUGAUUCCUACGGCUAGGGUAUUCCAAAUGUCCAAUUUGAUUCAAAAACCCACGGUUAAGUCAUGAGUUAUUUGGGAUUAUUGUUUGAAACCCUAGGGAGAGUUAUUGAUGGAUUUUGGUGAGAGUAGGUGCAUUUUCGUUUAAUAGGGAUUAAAUCCCGUGUUCUAGAUGUUAGGGGUUGGAAAAUACCCCAAAUACCCUUAAUGAGACCGGUAUGAAAUUAUAACUGGGAGCCCAUUUUCAUGGGCUACCAUGACGAGCCACUAUCGCAGUGGCUCAUUGGAAAUCGACGAAUGGGAAUUCCCAUCGCGGAGUCUCACUAUAAAUUGACCAUCAUCAUUUAAACCCUUUCCGCGAUGUGCCAAGGAUAGGAAUGACAGUGUUUUAUGAUUAGGACUUAAAUUAACCAUAACUCCUUCACCGAGUGUCCUUUUUUGAUGAAUCUUAUGUCGACGAAAAACUUAUUCGAUCAUAUACAUAAUGAAAAGUUAAAAUCUAAGGAAUUCCACAGUGAAAUAAGUAUAAAUCAUUCUAGAAGACAAUGCUUGAUACUUUAGGGACAAAAAUUCAGCUAGGAAAAACUUUGGAGCAUUACAACAUGAAGGACUAAGGAGUGUGUAACUGAAGGACUAAGCCUCAAUGCUACAAUGACAACGUAUAGACACACCGUGGUGCUAUCAUUGAGGAAUAAAUCAAACCUCGAUAAAAACAAGAUUGUGUAUAGAUAUAUACUGUGAUGAUAUUAUUGAGAAUUGAGUAGUGAUUUGUUGAAAGACCGAAGUUGUAUUUCACUGAGACACUUCCUAGUCCUUCGUGAUUCCAAAAAUAUAUAUAAAUAUAUUGUGAUGGUAUCAUAGAGGACUAAAGAGUAUUUCACCUUAAUGAAAAUCAAUAAAAAUAAAAAAGAUGCUCUACAGGAGUCUACAAUAAUGUUCUCUUCUCUUUGUAGAAAGCCAAGCUUUUUCUUAAGUAAGAGAGAAAGGAUAAACGAAUUUAUCAAACAUACAAAACCCCUUCUGUCAAAGAAAAAGUUGAUUAAAUUCAUCCUAGGUGAAUCUAAUCUAUUUAACUGAUAUGGGUUGUUACUAUGGAUAAUUCCACCACUUCGAUCUUUGGUAGGUUGUAGUUUAGUGACUUAUUCUACCAUUUUUUAUCAAAGAAAAGGAAGACGUAUACAAUAGUGAACCAAAGCUAAAGAAUGAUUGGACUGGUCUAUUGCUAUGAUACCAUGUACAAAUUAAAAAUGAAAGAUGAUUUGAAAUUUUUUAUUGGUGUAUUCAUUGCUCAUUAAUUAUAUAAAUCUAUUUAUGUAAUGAGGACUAAAAUGUGAAAAGUGUAAGAACUACAGAUAAUCUUCUAGUCUGUGUAACAAAAUGAACUAAUUUAUAUCCACCUUAUCUAUUCUAGACGGUGAUUUUAUUUCCUUGCAUUUAUUACACCGUUAUUGUAAAGACCAAAUUUACAAAUCAAGAUGGUACCUACUUUACUCCACCAGUAGAUCAACUGAACCGUAGCCCAUAGCUAGAAACAAUGGGCUAAUUUGGUUGGAAAAGGUGUAAAAUCAAGAAUUUGGUAGUAAAGACUUACAAUAAUAAUUCAAGUAAUAAUAAUAGUCUGAAAGAUAGAUAAAACAUCAAUAACCAUACCACGAUAUUGUAGUGUUGGUACACAAGCCACUAGAUAAAAGGAAAUAAAAUUACUGAAAUAAUCAAUAUAUAUCAGUGUUGAAUAAAGAAAGACUAGACAUAAAUAGUGGAAGAAAGAAGCUCAACUCUGACUCCAAGAGCUCACCCUGUCUCUGAACUCAACUCAUCACGACCUUAGUGUCAACGAUAUUCAUAGUAAGAUCUAUAUCAGAAGUAUAGUAUGAGUACCGAAGUCACGGGUACUCAUUAGGCAUCAUCGGCCUACUGAGCUAAAUCAUGAUAUAAGUACAAUAAAGAUGCAAGAUAAAUAAGCUAAGUCAAUGUAAAAGGGAAAACCUAGAAUAAAGCUCCAAUAUUGUCAAUAAGUAACCACAAUGGAUAUAAUAUGAAAGAACGUAUCAUUAAUAAUAUAAGACUGCCCCUAUAAGUUAGUAAGUUUAACACAGUAAAUAAACUAAUGUAGUCCCCUAUAAGACCGGAGGGUACAAUAAAAAAGGUAAAUAACUGAGUUUCAUAAAUUUACCAAUUAUCAAGACAUAACCAUGAACCCAUCCAUACUAUAACACACAAUAAAUAACCUCUCAAUACUGGACUCAAACCAAAACUCAUAUCAUCAUAAUCACUAUUUAUCGGACUUCAACUGAAACUUAUGUCAUCUAUUGCUAGAUUUGAAUAGAAACUCAAUAUCAAUAAAUUGUCGAACUUGAACUGGAACUCAUAUCAACUCACAAGUACCAAACUAACAUAAGCAUAAAAAAAUUAAUCUCUUCAAACUAUAAAAUAUGAAACUUUAAGAAUAUUCUAUGCCCGUUAAGUCUUCAAAGAACUACAAGAGUCUUGGCCUAAGGUGGGGGUUAGAGGGGCUCACUUCUAAUCCUUAAAAUCCAUUUUAAGGCAAAAUAUACCCUGAGUUAGGAUAAGGUAUCUUAAUCUACUUCUAUAUGAUAAAUAAGCCAUAAUUAUCCCUAAGAUAACAAUUCUACCUAAAUCAUGAAUAACUAAGUCAACUAUGCAAAAUUUAUGGCUACAAAAUAGUUUAAACAGUCCAAAAAAUACUAAUAAUACCUAUUUACACCUCCAAGACCUAAUUUCCAUCACAUAUCUAGAAUAAUAUCAUACAUAUACUACAAAUUAGCUCAAUCUAUGAGAAAGGUAAACGUAGCCUACCUGGAUGCCGUAGAAAAAUCUGAAGAAAUUCACUAAAUCAUCAAUUUCCCGUUAAGAGAAUCUUACGUAAGAUGCUACCCUAUCAAAAAUAUAAUCUACUAAUUAAAAUAAGAACAAUGAUACCCAUAUUGCACUUUUGUACUUUGGGUCCGAAAUUACAUAAAAUCCAAUAUGGAACCCAUUUGCGUAAUCACACUUUUGAUAUUGACAAUACAUCCCUCCAUGCAUAAGGAAUGUUUAUCCAUAAGAAUGGGAAAAUUUUGAGAUUAUAUGGUGCCACAAUCAACCCUCAAAUAUUCUAAGGAUUUUGGAAAAAUUAUUAUAAAUUAGCAAUUUAUUUUAUUAAAACUUACCAAGAAUUCAGAGAAGAAAUGCGUUAUUCGAGCUUACGAAUGCCCUAACUCACCUACUAAUGUUUCUCGUAUAUUUUCACAACUUUUUGGGUUCUAUUCACUUAGAAAUUGGAGAAAAAGGGAUAAGUGGGGUAUUUAUAUGGUCUCCAGGUGUCCACAAGUUGCUUAAGAGGACACUAGGCUGCAUAAGCGAUAACUACUUUAGCAUUCAAGUGCUGCUUUAGCUUCUAAGUGUUGCUUAAGCAGGUUUGCCUGUGGCAUAACACUUAAGCAGACCCCUUACUACUUAAGCGGUGAGGGCUCUACUUAAGAGACCCUCAGCUGAGUCAUCCUGGCCACAUAAGAGGUCAGCUGGCUGCUUUAGUGGACCUCUGCUUAAGGAAACCAAAAGGUGCUUAAGUGGGUGCACCAACUGGAGACUUGGAAUUUUUUUGAGUCACCACCGACCUUAUGGGAUUCUUUUAGAAUCCCAUAUACCCGAACAAACUAUGCUACCCAAUAAAAUUCAAUAUAUUGGACUCAACAGCACAAUCAAAAUUCUUAUUUGAGGUUAUUUUGAUGAAAAGUAGGUCUCACACCCAAGUGACAUUUGUCUUAUGUUCUGGCCAAUAUCCAAGAAUGAGUUUUAAAGCCUUGGGACCUGAACCAAGGAUCCUCCUAGCCUAAAAUCAACAUUCUAGACCUGUUGGAACCAUCAAAAUUAACAUACGAGGUUGUUUGACUAAAGUUUUUACCCAAUAGCCAAUUUUAACUGGUAAAGACUUUAAAAUAGAGAAUUAGAUCUAAAACCAAAUGAAACUCCAACAAGUCAUAAAUCACUUAGGGCAGCUAUAGGAAAGCUGUAAACGACAAAAUUAAGCAAAAAUUAAGAAAAUGACCUAUAGGGUCAUUACAAUAUCCAUUACUAAAAGAACUUUUGUCCACAAAAGUAAAGGAUUAAAAUGAACAUAAAGCCUCAAAUAGGUGAGAAUAAUCGGUCCAUAUCUCAUUCUCAAUCUCCUAUGUAGCCUCCUCUACUGGGCGGUGCCUCUACUGAACCUUAACUACUGGAAACUCUCUAAGGUGCAACCGCCUGACAUCACUAGCUAAUACGAACACAGGCUCUUCCAUGAAGGUCAACUACUUAUCCAAAUGAACUGAGGACCAUAUGAGCACAUGAUAUGCAUCUAGAAUAUAGAAUUACAAUAUAUAAACAUGGAAAACUAAAUCAACAGCAGUAAAAUCUGCGGGCAAGGCUAACUCAUAUGCUACCUCUCCAAUUAUGAGAAGGAACUCAAAGGGUCCAAUAUAUCUGGGGUUGAGUUUGCCUUUCCUCUACAACCUUAUCACACCCUUCAUGGGAGAUACAAAAAUAAAUACCUAAUCUCCAAAAGCAAAUAUCAAGGAAUAACUUCUACAGUCUUCAUAAGACUUCUACCUAAAUCACCCUGACUCCUGAAGCAAGUCAGUACCAUAGGGUCUAACCGCAGAGGUCUGAAACCACCCAAUUGGAGAACUACAUCGCCUACCAUACAACCCUCAAAAUCUUUCAUCCAAAUACUCAAAUGGUAGCUAUAAUUAUAUGAAAACUCUCCUAGAGCUAAGUGUUACUCCCACUUACCUCUAAAAUCCAUAACACAGGCUUGAAAUAUAUCCUUGAGAACCUAAAUAGUCUGCUUCGACUAUCGAUCAAUCUAAGGGUAAAAACUAUACUAAGAUCCACCGAAGUACCCAAAUCCUCUUGAAAAGCUCUCCAAAAGCUACAAGUAAACACUGAACCCUGGUCUAAAAUGAUAGAUACAGGGACACCAUGAAAAUAGACUACCUCACUAACAUAGAUGCGGGCUAAACUCUCUCUAUUGAAGGACAUAUGAAUAGGAAUGGAAUUGACCAAUUUGGUCAGUUGAUCCAUAAUGACCCAACUACUAUCAAAGCCAUAAGAAGUUUGAGGGAAUUACUAUAAAGUCCAUGGUAAUCCGAUCCCACUUCCACUCAUGAAAGGGAAACCUCAAAAUCAAGACACUAGGUAUCUUAUGCUCUGUCUUCACCUACUUAUAACAUAGGCAAUGAGCUACAAAGUCUGUCAUAUGUCUCUUCAUACCAUUCCAUCAAUAAUGUUGCCUCAAAUCUCUAUAUAUCUUAGCUAUGCUUAGGUGAAUACAAUAUUAGGAGUAGUAAGACUCAUGCAAAAUCAACUAAAUCAAUUCACCAACCUUGAAAUACAAAUGUGGCCAUCAGACCUCAAAAGACCCUCAGAAUCUAUAAUAGCCCUCAUAGAUUCACUACUCAACACUUAAUUAUGGAUAAUGCAAUGUCUCAUAUCCUCAAGUUGGCGACUCCAAAUCUGCUAAAAUAGAGUAGAACUCACCUCAAUACUAGAAAGAGUCCUCCUAGGGUUUGAAACAUCAAGUUAUAACCUCAAGAUGUCUAAUGACAAAAUGUACCAUGCCAACAACCAUAGAGAAACUAAGAUAGAAGCCAAGUUACCUAUACUCACUACCUUCCUGCUCAAAGCAUCUGCUACCAAGUUUGCCUUGCCCAAAAGUGAUAAAAUAGUAAUUUUAUAAUCCUUAAGCAACUCUAUCCACCUAUGCCGCCUAGAAUUAAGCUAUCUCUGGGUCAUAAGAUGCUAAAGACUACGAUGAUCUAUGAAAAUCUUACAAUGUAUCCCAUAAAGAUGAUGUCUCCAAAUCAUAAGUACGAAAACUACCGCCACCAACUCUAAUCAUGAGUUGGAUAGUUGCGCUUAUACACCUUCAGCGGCCUUGAUGCAUAAGAAAUAAUCCAACCCUAGUGCAACAACAUACAACCUAAACCAAUAGUUAAAGCAUCACAAUAUAUGGUGAAUACCUUAUCCUUAAUAAGAAGAGCCAAAGUAGGAGCUGAAGUGAGAAAUCUCUUGAGCUUCCCAAAGCUCAACUAAAACUCUUAGGACCAUCAGAAAGGAACCUCCUUUCAAGUCAAUCUAGUCAUUUAUUCUACAAUUGAUGCAAAACUUUCAACGAACCAUCUAUAGUAACUAGCCAAACCAAUAAAACUAUGAACCACAAACAGAGAUCUAGGCCUGGCCCAAUUAGAAAUAGCCUCAAUCUUUGUAGGGUUAACCAUAAUCCCAUCCUUAGACAACACAUGUAACUAACUUAGUGGAUUUGGCAAAAAGCCUGUGAUCUCGCAGAAACUGGAGCAUAAUUCUCAAAUACUACAUAUGCCUCUAUAUCUUUGAAUACACAAGGAUGUUAUUGAUGAACACAAUAACAAAGAAAUCCAAAUAAGUUGUGAACACUCAAUUCACCAAAUCCAUAAUUGUGAUGGGGGUAUUGGUUAACCCAAAUGACAUCACCAAGAACUCAUAAUUACUAUAAUGGGCCUUAAAGAUUAUAAUUGAGAUAUCCACAAACCUAAUCCCCAAUUGAUGAUAAUCGAACCUCAAAUCACUCUUAGAAAAUACCUCUUCUCCCAGAAAUUGGUAAAACAAAUCAUUAAUGUGAGGCAUAGGAUACUAGUUCUUCACCGUUACUUUAUUAAGCUGCCUAUAAUCAAUGCACAUAUGCAAGGAACCUUCCUUUUUCUUUACGAUCAAUAUAGGAUCUCCCCAAGGUGAUACAUUUUGUCUAAUGAAACCCAUACCAAAAAGAUCCUAAAGUCAAGAAUUUAGCUCCUUCAGAUUGACAGGAGCCAUAUGGUAAGGUGCCAUAAAAAUUGGUUGGGUGCUCGACUCAAUAUUAAGCUUAGAAGAAAGACCAGGUAGAUUGAUAGGGAGAAUAUUGGGAAACUCAUAAACUAUAAGGAUAGAGUCAAGUGACAUACACUCCACAUUAACAUCAGAAAUAUAAUCUUGAUAAGACUCUCAACCCCUUAAAAUAAGUCUCCUAGCCCGAGUAUAAGAAAUGAUCCUCAUCAUCUUAUAAAUAAUACCUUUUUUUCACACAACUAAGGUAUGUCAAGCAUGGCUAAGGUAACAAUUUUGGCAAAAUAAUCCAAGACCGCAUAUAGUGGGAUAGCCAGUCCAUGCUUGGAAUCACAUUAAAACUCACCAUGUCUAAUAUAAUAAGAUCAGCCUGAGUAUCAUACUUGCAAAUAGUCACAAUAUAUGAUCUAUAAACCUGACCACUACUAAAGAAUCAUCCAUAGGAGAAGAUACAUAUAAAGACACAGAUAAAGAAGCCUAGGAUAACUCAAAUCAUAGAGAAUAAAAGUAGACACAUAAGAAUAAGUGGAUUCUGGAUCAAAUAAAAAAACAGACAGUGAUGGAAUACAAAAAAUAUACUUGUGGUUACAACAUCCAAAAACUCAACCUCGAGUAUAGCAGGUAUGAUAUUCAACUGACCAUGCUCGCUACUUGGCUGGGAUCUUAACUAAUCUUAUAUCCUACUUUCAUAAAGACCUCUAUGAGCACCUUGGGAACCACUCUGAUGACCAUACACACACCUCUAAAUGGGGGUGGAAUACUCUAAAUUGAAGGAACCAUCGAUCCACAACUGGGGCAAUCUUUUGAGAAAUGGCUAAAGGCCUCACAACCAUUAUUUACCCAAGUGAUGCACCAAAACUGGAAGAUGCUACCCCAAAAAACUGCAAUGACUAGAAUACACAGAAGACAAAUACCUUGGAGUUUGACACUACUCUAGCAAGGAUGUCAUUGUAACUAGACUAGCCUCCAUAAAUAAUUUAAAGUAUGGCCUGAAUAGGCCUACUAGAUUGACCUUGAUGCUGAUACAACUAACAAAGGAUACCUACCCCGAGAACUAUUAUCAUUAAACCAUGAGCCACUAUGCAUCCUAUAAAACUAUUCGAAUAUCACAACCUUUUUAUCUCUGCCCCUUGGUCUUCGCGAUAUAUCUCCUUCAUAACAUGAUAAUAAUCAAAAACCUUAGCAAAAGACCUCCUCAUAGCAACCAAAAUCUAUGUAGACAUGCAGAGAGGGAGCCUCAAUCCCUAAAUAAUGCACAGAACACUUUAAAACCAAGUAGUUAGAAUAGAUAUAGCAUGUCUACCCACCUCAUAAAAUCCAGCCUCAAACCCUAAAAUAGUUAUAGACCCCUACUGAAACCUCGAGAACUAAUAUCCCAAAUAAUUUCUAUGAUUAUGAGACAUAUACUUCUCCAAAAGAUGUUAUAGAACUGAGUCCAUGCAAAUAGGGGAGAUCCAGCUGGCUUGGAAUCAAGAUAACCUCUCCACCAGUGGUAAGCUGCUAUGUCUAACUGAAAGAUAGUGUAAUCUACCCCACGAGUCUUAACUAGGCCCAAUUAUGGAUCCUAUCCUUGCAAGCAAUCAAGAACUCAUAAGUAUACUUACUUGGUGCUCCAGAAAACCUAAGUGAAGCCAAUCUCAAUGAUCUACCCAUUAUAUUUUUCUUCUAAACACUCAUAGAAUGUUGGUUAACCACCAGCAGAAUAACUGUCUACUGAGCAACCACUAGCUCAAGAGGUACCUCAACUCUGGGAGCCAUAGUUACAAGCUACGCUCCCACCUUAAUAUCACCUGAUUCAUAGACCGUAUACCACCAGAUAGUGCAUCACUAAUUAAUCCUAAGAUCUUAACCAAUUCAUCCCUAAACACUAAAGAAACAGUGAACCUUGGUUGGGUAUGGGCUGGUUCUUAGCCUACCACAGGCUAGGACAGAAGAAUAUUUGACUCGUGAGCAUGAAUAAGGUAUGGUGAAGGUCCCCUAUUUUGUUCCCUAACUAUAGAUGCAUCCCUAGGUUGUCCUUAACCUCUAGGUUAUCCAUGAAUAAUGAUAGAAUCUCUAGGCUUAGACCCAGGCAGCAGUAGCAUGUGUCCUAAUAAUCUGUGAAAGAGUAAAACAAAGAAAUUUUUAGAAACCAACUUAGACUCUUAGAAUGAAAUAAGUGAAAGAAGUAAAGAAAAAAAUGUCCCAUAGUCUUCCGAUAUAUGAAAUAUACAUCAUUAUUUUGAUUUGAAAGACUCUACCAGACGCCUACUCUAAUACCAAUAAUAAUGGUGAACUUAGUGCUCUGAUACAAAUUAGUCAUUACUGGAUAUAGAAAUCAUGAUAACACCUGCUUGACCUUAUUAGUAGGUAAGUCUAACCAUAGAGUGGAGCUAGAAGCAAUAGGUUAAUUUGGUGGAAAAAGGUGUAAAAGCUAAAAAUUUACAAGUAAUAACUUAUGAUAACAAUUCAAGUAAUAAUAAUAGUUUGAAAGAUAGAUGAAACAUCAAUAACCAUCCCACAACGUAUUAGUGUCGGUACAAGAGCGACUAGCCAAAAAGGAAAUCAAACUAUUGUAAUAGUCAAUACACAUACAUCUUGAAUAAACAAACACUAUAUAAAGAUAGUAGAAGGAAAAAGGGUAACUCCAACUCUGAGAGCUCACCCUAUCUCCAAACUCAACACAACAUGAUCUUAACAUUAAUGGUAGCCACUAGUACUAAGAUGUAACACCCCAAAUCUGGUACCCAAAAUGCCACAUGGUGCUCAUGACACUGAAGGACCAUAAGCUAACCCAUGACUAAUAUAUGUACCUAUACACUCCAUAAUAUACUAUAUAAAUAUAGAAAUAAAGGUUGAAAGUCCAUAAGGUUCAAAGAUUUCAUAAAACAUAUUAUCUGAAGAUAUGGUAUAUCAAUACCAAAAUAACUAAAAUAACUGUCUGAACAUGCUAGUCUGAAAAUUCUCUAAUUGACUGAAAUGUAUGAAUAAGGAGUUGAUGGGACAUGUCCGCAACUAACUCUAACCACUGAAAUAAAUUAAUUAAUGAGAUAAUAAAGUAAUGGUCAUGUCCUCGAAGGAUGAGGACUCACUGCUAACUCUGACUAAAGAUACUAGAAUGCUACUGAUGCUCUGGAGCUUGUGCUUAUGAACCUAUGGUAUAAAACACCAUAGUACAAAUAUGUUAGUACGUUUGAAUGUACUGGUAUGCAUGUGAGGUAGGCUGAAUGCAAAGGGUUCACAUGCAUGACCUAUACAAGCUGACUGAAUAACAUAAACGUGAGAAUACAGGCAUCAAUACAUAAUAACUGUAACCAAGUUCGUGAUAACAUGAUUACUAAGCCUGAGUACUAAUAACAUAAGAUACUGAUUACUAUAUAACUUAACUAACUAAUACUAAGCGACUGUAUCUGACAGUCUAGUUUCUGAUAGAACUAGCUGAGUUCCGUACUAUUCUGAGUUGACUGUAUCUGACAGUCCUGAAAUUGUAAAGAACAAUCUAAGUUCUAUUACUGAGAUUGAAUGACUAUAUCUGAUAGUCCUGAUCUAUAAUUGAAACUAUGGGAAGCAAUCAUCUAACCGAUAUGCCCCAAAUAACGCAAUAUAGUUGAAUUAGGGUCUAAUCCGUAACCCUAAUUAGAAGGGUGUCAAUAGCAUGCCACUGGUAAGGAAAAUCUAUGAGUAACCCUCAUAUAAUAGGUCACUCUAGUGAGAAUAGUGGGAACCCUCAUAUAACAAGUUAAGCCACCUCAUCUACCCCCAUAUAACACGCCACAUAGUUCUGGAAUACAAGGAUUGCUUCUAAGAAUCACACCCUAAUAUAACUGGUAAGUUCCUAUCCUUGGGUUUGCUCGGUGCAAAUUUCUACUCCUAUCUGGAUAGACACUGAGCAUGAUUAACUAAACUGACUGGACUGAGUUAACUGAGUUCUGUUUACUGACAAAAUACUACUGAGAUUAUGAGUUUUUCCUGAGUCAUAAGACUGACUGAAUUCUAUGGAUCAUGGCUUAACUGGGAGUAUCUUGAAAACAUGACAUUGAUUCUAGGCACAUAACUAAAUUUUUAGGUACAAGUAACCCCAAGACUCGAUGGGAAAAAACUGACAAAGCAUGACUUUCUUGAAUACCUGACCAAUAUCAAUAAUCCAUAAUAUAAUAAGUUAGAGAUUUCAUGAAGUACAAGUUCUAAAGCACCACAAUGGCUACACAUAUAUCCAUAAUUCAAUGACUAAGACAUUUCAUCAAACACUGAACAUGCAAAAACUUGUACAUAAAUAGGGAUUUAAUAUUGUCAUACUACUAUGGCACUUUUCCUUCACAUAUGCAUUUAAUCGAACACAUGGGGAACAUGCUUUGGUUAUACAAUAAUCAACACAUCUAAUAAUCAUUGAUACAUCAAUAAACAUGUAAAUUUAAGGGUUUAUCAUGAUUAUUAUGAAAAUGACCACAUCCUAGGGUCAAUCAUUGGAAAAAUGUAAUUUAAAACAUGAACCAAAAUCCCACAACAUCAUGAUCAUGAAUUUCAAUUAUAUUUCAAUAAUGAACAUUCAUAAAUACAUAAAUCUUGGAUUUUUAGAAGAGAUUCUUGAGCUUUAUGGGUGAAAAGGACCCAUCAAUAAACACAUGACAUACCUGGGUUGUGAGUUUCUUGAAGAUUAAUGUAGAAAAACUUGAAUUCUUGAAUUGGAAUUAAACACCUAGGGUUUCUUGUUCUUGGGGAUUAUCUUUGAGAGAAGACCCUAAUUUGAUAUUGUAGGUGGAAAAUAAACUUAUGUGCCUUUAUCUGAUAUAAUUAGAGGUUAAAAUGUGUGGAAAAGACCCAAAUACCAUUUUAAAGACAACUUUAAAAUAACUAAACAAACUAUGCGACGCUACGUCCCUGUGUGAAUGGUUUAUCGAUCCUGACCGUCGCACCUAGGCAGAAUAGGGGUUCACAACGUCUGUUGUGACGACUUCGGCAAUGGUUCGUCGCUAGCUCGACGAUUCUUCGACUUAAGACUUCACCCUUUUGUAGAAGAUGGUCUCACUACCUCUACUGUGACAGUUUGAGUAAUGGUCCAUCGCUAGAUCUACGGUCCAUCGGCCCUCAUCAUCGCGCCUGAGCAGUUUUGAAUGCUUUCUAUAAAAAAACCCAUAACUUUCUACCCCGAUAUCAGAUUUGGAUAAAAUUGGUAUCGUUGGAAAGCUAAUUCAAUUACCACUCAACAAAAAGUGAAAAUCUCAAAAAUAUUCCAUGCAUAUAAAAUAGAUUCAUCUUUCAAAAUAAGUUUCUAACAUUCCUACGAUGAUUUCAAGCUAGGUAGAAGUACGGAGUACUACAAUAUCUCCUUCUUGAGAACAGUCAUCCUCGAAUGAGUUUGAAUGAGAGGGGAGAAGAUAAACUAACGUACCUACUAAACAUAAAUAACUUAAACAUGAUCUUAUGACUGACAUGACUGAUAACUAAAUAUAUCAUACCAAACAUGCAUAUAUGAUGGUUGUUUAAUUGAUUCAUGAAUGCAUGACUGAGUGUUUUGAUGAACCAAGGUUCUUACAAUGAGAAUGCAUGUCGGAUGCAUAAUUAUAUAACUAAAAUGAUAUGUGAAUACAUGACUGACUAUGCAAUGGUACUUAAUACCAAGUUUAUAAUGGAAUUCUGAAUAAGGAAUGGAUACCAAGCUUGUCACUGAAAUCUAGACAUGAAACUGAAAAUCUUAAGAAGAAAUGUUACCUUGAUAUUUAUCUGAGUUUCCAGAGAAUAGGUGAUGAUACUUAGUCCGCAUAUCUGCUUUUGCUUCCGAAGUAGCCUCCUCAAUGGACUGAUUCGACCAAAGAACUUUGACUAGAGGAACUUCUUUGUUCCUCAGUCUACAAGUCUUAUAGUCUAGUAUUUCGACUGGAAUCUCUUUAUAAGAGACGUUGUUUUGAACAUCUAUUCUCAAAAUAGGGACUACAACUGCUGAGUCACCUAUGCACUUCUUGAGAAAAGAGACAUGGAAGACUGGAUGAACUGAGGCUAGAUCUAAAGGCAAUUAGAGAUCAUAAGCUACCUUGCCUAAAUGACUGAGAAUUUUAAAGGAAUCGACAUAUUGGGGGCUUAGUUUUUCCUUCUUGCCUAACCGCUUCACUCCAUUCAUGGGAGAGAUAUUUAGAUAGACAUAAUCACCAAUAUCAAACUCGAGAUCCUUCCUGUACACAUUCGCAUAAGACUUCUGUCGGCUCUGAGCAGCCCAGAGUCUUUCUCUGAUCAACUGUACUUUCUUUAAAGCAUCAAAUACUAAGUCAGGCCCUAUAACUGAGACCUCACUAACUUCAAACCAACCCAUUGAAGAUCUGCAUCUCCUACCAUGAAGAGCUUCGAAUGGAUCAAUCCAAAUACUAGAAUGAUAGCUAUUGUUUUAUGCAAACUAAAUCAAUGGCAAGGGCUAAUCCCAACUACCCUUGAAAUCGAUUGCACACGCCCUUAGCAUAUCUUUUAAAGUCUGAAUGGUCCUUUCUGCUUGACCAUUUGUUUAAGGAUAGAAGGUUGUACUAAGAUGAACUUGGGUACCAAGACUCUUUCGGAACACUUUUAAGAAAUAAGAGGUGAAUUGGGUACCCUUGUCUGAGAUAAUGGAUAACGAAACUCCAUGUAAUAUGACCAACUCUUUCAUGUAGAGUUUGGCAUAAUCCUCAGCUGAAUAAGAGGUAUAGACUAGAAGAAAAUGAUCUUAUUUGGUCAUUCUAUGUAUAAUGACCCAGACUGAAUCAUGCUAGCGACAAGUACGAGGAAAAUCCAUCACAAAGACCAUGUUCACUUUUUCCCACUUCCAAGUAGGAAUACUAAACUCCUGCAUGGACCCACUAGAAUUCUAAUGCUCUAUCUUAAUGUGCUGACAUGUAGAGAAUUUAUCCACAAAAUUUGCAAUAUCUUUCUUCAUCCCACUCCACCAAUAGAUUUCCCACAAGUUGUGGUACAUCUUAGUCGCCCCUAGAUGAAUAGAGUAGCGCGCACCAUGCGCUUCUACAAGAAUUUACUGCCUCAAGUCAUCUACACCUAGAACAAAUAGAUGACCCUGACAACGUAGAACACCAUCUCCCCCUUGAGAGAAAACCUCCACUUUCUGAUCAUUGAGUGUCUCUUUCAACUUGACUAGACUGGGAUCUAUAUCUUGCUUUUCUUUCACCUUAGAAAUUAGAGAUAAUUUUGAACUACUCUGAACCCAUAUAUCACCCUUCUCUGUAUUGACUAAGCAAAUGCCUUGUCUAGUAAGAUGAUGGAUUUCCUGAGCUAACUUCUUAUUAUUAUCCUUAACAUGAGCGACACUAUCCAUAGACAAUCUACUAAGAGCAUUGGCCACGAUGUUGGCCUUUCCCGGAUGAUAAAGGAUACUCAUGUCAUAAUAUUUCAAGAGCUCUAACCACCUUCUCUGAUGAAGAUUGAGAUCUUUCUGAGGAAAGACAUACAAAAGGAUUUUAUGAUCUGUGAACACAUCUACAUAAACCCUAUAUAGAUAAUUCCUCCAAAUUUUUAAGGCAAAAAUUACGGAUGCUAACUCAAGAUCAUGAGUAAGAUAAGUCUUCUCAUGGGGUUUAAGUUGCCUAGAUACAUAGGCUAUGAACUUACUAGGAUGCAUGAGGACCCAACCCAAACCUACUCUGGAUGCAUCAUAAUACACUAUGAACCAUUCGGAACCAUCUGGAAGAGCUAUAACUAGAUCUGAGGUAAGUCGGGUCUUCAACUCCUAAAAACUCUUCUCGUAAGGCUCUGGCCACUGAAACUUGACUUUGUUUUGAUUCAAUCUUGACAUAGGGGAUGCAGUAGAAGAAAAUCCCUCAACAAACUAUCUAUAAUUACCAGCCAAACCAAAGAAACUCCUGAUAUCUGAUGGAGAUAUAGGUUUGGGCCAAUUUCUUACUGCUUUGGUCUUUUGAGAAUCAACCCUAAUGCCAUCACUAGAAAUAAUAUGACCAAGGAAUGCUACUGACCUUAGCCAAAAUUUUCACUUACUGAAUUUGGAAAACAAAUAAUGAUCUCUGAGAGUUUAAAGUACAAUUCUGAGAUGGUCUGCAUGAUCAUGCUCACUGCAGGAAUAGACCAAAAUAUCAUCUAUGAAGACUAUAAUGAAUAUGUCUAAGUACUACUUGAACACGUAGUUCAUCAAGUUCAUUAAAGUGGUUGGGGCAUUGGCAAGCCCAAAGGACAUAACUAAGAAUUCAAAGUGAUCAUACCAAGUACGAAAGGCUAUUUUUGGAAUGUCAUAUUCUUUGACUAUGACCUGAUGAUAGGUUGAUAUGAGGUCUAUCUUAAAUAAAUAGCUGGCACCCUGAAGUUGGUCGAACAAGUCAUCGAUUCUGGGAAGUGGAUACUUGUUCUUAAUAGUGACUUUGUUGAGCUGAUGGUUGUCUAUACACAUUCUGAGAGAACCGUCUUUUUUGCACAUGAAUAAGACUGGUGUACCCCACAGAGACACACUGGGCCUAAUGAAUCCCUUAUCUAAGAUAUCCUUUAACUUCUCUUUUAAUUCUCUGAGUUCUGUUAGUGCCAUUCUGUAUGGUGAAAUAGAUAUAGGUUGAGUAUCUUGAAGAAGAUCAAUGUAGAAGUCUAUUUCCCUUCCAGGAGGAAUUCCUAGAAGAUCUUUGCGAAAAACAUCUGAAUAUUUAUUCAUGACUGGGACUGAUUUAAGACUAGGAGUUUCAUAACUAGUGUCCUUAACUCGAAUAAGAUAAUAGACACAUCCUUUAGAUAUCAUUUUCCUUGCCCAAAAGUAGGAAACAAGAUGACCUCUAGCCGCUGAAGUACUACCCUUCUACUCUAGGAUAGGUUCAUUCGGAAACUGAAAGUAGACAACUCUAUUUUUGCAUUCAAUGAUGGCAUAGAAGGAAUAAAGCCAAUCUAUACCGAGAAUGACAAAAAUCAGUCAUUUCUAAUUUGACUAAGUUUGCUGAGGUGACUUUUUGAGAUACCAUAACCGGUGAGUUCCUAUUUACCCGUCGGGCUAUAAUGAUUUUACCCAUUGGGGUAGAGACUAAAAAGGGAUUUACUAGAAUUUCGAGACUAACUCCAAAAUCAACUUCUAUAUAGGGAGUAACAAAAUACAAAAAAGCUCCUAGAUCUAGCAAAGUAUAAACAUGCACAUAAAAGAUUCGUAACAUACCAGUAACCAUAUCAAGAGAAUUUUCCUAAUUUUUCCAAGACUAGAAAGCAUAAAGUCGAUUUAGGUGUUGCCCACUAGUAGUGUUGGAGGUGGCACCCUAAUGGUUUGGACGAUCGGACUGAGCUGAGAAAUGGUUCUGCUGACCCUAAGGACCUGGCUAAGGACAGUCUCUGACUCUGUGGCCUGGCUUUCUACGUUCGAAACAAAUACCACUGCCAUGUCUGCAAAUACCUUGAUGCUUCUUACCAUAAUUCUGGCAAAGCGGAUAGGUACAAGCACUACUAACACUACCCUAACACUUAGAUCCUGGCGCUCUAUCUUUGUUACCGUCCCCGAACAUAGAAGCAGGAGCAAUGGCUGAAGAAGAAGCUGGAAAUGAUGACUUAGGAUGAAACUGAGAAUGGUUUCCUCCCUAUAACUUAGGCUGAGCAAAUCUGAAACUACCUAUCCUUACUCUCUUAUUCUGUUUCUCCUUCAUCUUAAUCUCUUUCUACUUUAUCUGUUGAGCAUGGGUCAUAAGCCUGGCUAUGUUCAUGUCACUAUUCAAUAUCAUAGACCUACACACAUUGAUCACACUAUCAUUCACCCUAGAGAAAAACUUACCCAUCUUAGCCCUGCUAUCUGCAACCACAUAAGGAGCAUAUCUGUCUAAUUGACUAAACUUAAGAGAAUACUCUUUAACCGUCAUGUUUCCUUUCCUGAGAUUGAUAAAUUCUAACACUUUAGCUUCUUUUAGCUCUAGGGGAAAGAAUCUAUCUAAGAAUAAAGUAGAAAACUCCUUUCUCUCAAUAUGCCCUGCACCUAUAACCCUCUCUGAAUUCUACUAUUUGAACCAACUAUGAGCAACAUCCCACAACUGAUAUGCAGCUAGCUCAGCAGUCUCACUAGGAGUAACCCCUAUAAUGUCAGCAACUUUCUAAAACUGAUCGAUGAAUUUUGAAGGGUCCUCAUCUGACUUAGACCCUAGAAGGGAUGAAGGAUUCAUUUGGGUAAAGUCCCAAAUCCUAACUGCAGCUGAAUUGGCCACUGUAUUGGCCAGAAUAAUAGUUGGUCAUUCAUUCUACAUAGUAACUGUCUGUGCAAGAGUAGUGAAUAAAACUCUAAACUCUACAAGAGAGUCACGCUUGCUUAAAGGAUCUUUGGGCUAAGGAGCUGGCUAAUUACCAUUUCUUCUUUUAGGAGGCAUGUUCUAUAGAAGAAAGAGAGAAACAGAUUACACUGAGAGAGUUACUUGAGAUUAUGCUCACUGGUAUGAUAUGAAUACUGAAAGAAGGGAAACUGCCCCUAAAAUAUCUUAUAGCAUCUUGCACAUAAAUAUGGCGCACAAUAAACCCAUGUACAAGACUUUACUAGUUGCAGCUUUCAGACUUCCUAGGACUCUAUUGAACCUUAGGCUCUGAUGCCAACUUUGUAAUGCCCCAAAUCUAGUACCCAGAAUUCCACACGGUGCUCAUGACUCCGAAGGACCAUAAGCAAACCCAUGAGUGAUAUCUAUACCUGUACACUGCAUAAUAUACUGUAUUAAUGCAAAAAUAAAGGCUGAAAGGCCAUAAGGUUCAAAGCUCUGAUAAAACAUAACAUCUAAAGAUAUGGUAUAUCAAUACCAAAAUAAUUGAAAUAACUGUCUGAACAUGAUAGUCUGAAAAGCCUCUAACUAACUGAAUUGUCUGAAUAAGGAAUUGAUGGAACAUAUCCCCAACCAACUCCAACCACUGAAAUAAAUUAAUUAAUGAGAUAAUAAAGUAAUGGUCAUGUCCCCAAAGGAUGAGAACUCACUGCUAACUCUGACUACUGAGACUAGAAUGUUACUGAUGCUCUAGAACUCGUGCUUCUGAACCUAUGGUAUAAAACUCCAUAGCGCAGAUUCGUCAGUACAUUUAAAUGUACUGGUAUGAAUGCGAGGUAGGAUAAAUGUAAAGGUUUCACAUGCAUGAGCUAUACUAGCUGAUGGAAUAACAUAAAUGUGAGAACAUAUGAAUGAAUACAUAAGUACUAUAACUGAGUUCGUGAUAACAUGAUUACUGAGCCUGAGUACUGAUAACAUGAGAUACUGAUAACUGUAUAACUGAAAUAACUAAUACUGAAUGACUAUAUCUGACAGUCUAGUUUUUAAUGGAACUAGCUGAGUUUCGUAAUGUUCUGAGUUAACUGUAUCUGACAGUCCUAUUCUAAAGAACUAUUUGAGUUCUAUUACUGAGACUGAAUGAUUAUAUAUUACAGUCCUGAUCCAUAAAUAAAAUUAUAGGAAGUAUUCAUCUAACCGAAAUGCCUCAAAUAAUACAAUAUAGCUAAAUUGGGGUCCAAUCUGUAACCCCAAUUUGAAGGGUGACAAUACCACAUCACUAGUAAGGACAAUCUGUGAGUAACCCUUAAAUAACAGGUAACUCUAGUGAGAAUGGUGGGAACCCUUAUAUAACAGGUUAAGCCACCUCAUCUACCCUCAUACAAUAGGCUAUGAUAUUCUAACGUAUAGUGGCUAUGUAGUUCUAGAACACAAGUAUUCCUUCUAAGAAUCAUACUCUCAUAAAAUAGGUGGGUUCCCAUCCUUGGGUUCACUCGGUACUAAUUUCUACUCCCAUCUAGAUAGACACUGAACAUGAUUAACUGAACUGACUAAACUGUGUUAACUGAGUUCUAUUGACUGACGGAAUACUACUGAAAUUAUGAUUUUUCCCGAGUCAUGAGACUGACUGAAUUCUAUGGAUCAUGGCUUGACUGAAAGUAUCUUGAAAACAUGACACUGAUUCUAGUCACACAAGUAAAUUUCGGGUAGAAGUACCCCCAGGACUCGAUGGGAAGAAACUGACAAAGCAUGACUUUCUUGAACACAUGACCAACAUCAACAAUCCAUAAUAUAAUAAGUUAGAGAUUUCAUGAAGUACAAGUUCUAAAGCUCCAUAAUGGCUACACAUAUAUCUAUAAUUCAUUGACUAAGAUAUUUCCUCAAACAUUGGACAUGUAUAAACUUGUACAUAAAUGGGGAUUUCAUAUUAUCAUACUAGUAUGACAUUUUUCCUUCAUAUAGGCAUUUACUCGAACACAUGGGAAUCAUGCUUUGGUUAUACAAUCAUCCACACAUCUAAUAAUCAUGGAUACAUCAAUGAAUACGUAAAUUUAAGGGUUUAUCAUGAUUAUUAUGAAAAUCACCACAUCUUUGGGUUAAUCAUUGGAAGAAUAUAAUUUAAAGCAUGAAUUAAAAUCCCACAAAAUCAUGAACAAGAAUUUCAAUUCAAUUUAAAUUAUAAACAUUCAUAAAUACACAAAUUUUGUAUUUUAAAAAAAGAUUCUAAAGCUUCAUGGGUGAAAGGGACCCAUAAAUCAAUAUAUGACAUACCUGGAUUGUGAGUUUCUUGAUGAUUGAUGGAGAAAAACUUCAAUUCUUAACUUGGGAUUAAACACCUACGGUUUACUAUUCUUAGGGAUUAUCUUUGAGAAAAAACUCUAAUUUGAUGUUGUAGGUGGAUAAUGAACUUAUAAGCCUUGAUCUAAUAUAAUUAGAGAUUAAAACGGGUGGAAAAGACCCAAAUACCCUUUUAAAAAUGACUUUAAAAUAACUGAAUGAACUAUGCGAUGGUGGGUGCGAUGGUCAGUCAUUGGGUCGACGGUCCGUCGGUCCUGACCGUCGCACCUAGGCAGAAUAAAGGUUCACUGCCUCUUCUAUGAUGUCUUGGGCAACGGUCUAUAGCUAGCUCGACGAUCCAUUGAGCUAAGCCAUCAUCUUUAGGCAGAAGGUGGCCUUACUACCUCCACUGCAAUGGUUUGGGUGACGGUCCGUCGCUAGCUCGAUGGUCAGUCGGCCCUCGUUGUCGCGCCUGGUUAGUUUGACUACUUUUUGUAAAACGGCCAUAACUUUCUACCCUGAUACUGUAUUUGGAUGAAAUUGGUAUUGUUGGAAAGCUAAUUCAAUUUCCCACUCAACAAAAAGUGAAAAUCUCAAAAAAAAAUCCAUUUGUACAAAAUGGAUUCAUCUUUCAAAUUAAGUUUCUAACAUCCUUGCGAUGAUUUCAAUCUAGGUAGAAGUACGGGGUAUUAUAUAAGAUCUAUACCAAAAAGUAACAGAAUAUAGUAUGAGUAGCAAAUCCAUGAGUACUCAGUAGGUUUAAUCAACCGACUAAGCUAAAUUAUGAUGUGAGUACAAUAAAAAUGCAAGAUAAAUAAGCUAAGUCAAGGUAAAAGGACAAACCGAGAAUAAAGCUCCAACAUUGCGAAUAAAUAAUGACAAUAGAUAUAAUAUGAAGGAAAGCAUAAUUAAUACUACAAGACUAACCCUCAUAAGCCAGAAAAUACAGAAAGUAAAUAACCCAAUGCAGGCCUUUAUAAGCCUGAAGGGUGUAAUCAAGAAGGUAAAUAACCAAAUUUCUAUAAAUAUACUAAUUGUUUGGAUAUAACCAUGAAUCUAUUUGUAAUACCCCAGAAAAUUUUUCGUCAAAAUUUUGUGUGUAAACAUGUUGGAUCCUAUCUUCGAAAAUAAUUUAUAAUUUUUCUGUGUGUCAUUUCUUUGAUUUCGAUCCACUAUUUUGUAGAGCAUCGAAUAAGAUUUCCAACGAUAUGUGGAUCACCCAAAACAGACACUCGAGCGAUGAGUUACGACCAUUCCGAUCAAACUAUGACCAUUCCGAUCGAACUGUGAACAGUAAAAUGUGCAGGAAAAAAAACUUACUGCAGCCAAGUGAUUUUUUUGGUUAACUUCAAAUGAUCAUAACUCCUUGUACAGAAUGAACUGUGUGAGCUAAUAUAUAUCAAGGGAAAGCCCUGAGAGCCUUCUUUCCAAUAAAAUUGGUUUCAUCCAAUUUGGACAUUGGAGUAAAAAGUUAUGGCUAAUUUACUUUAGCCUACCGGAUAGAUCACAGAAGGACAGAUUCGGAUUUUAUUUGUUUCUUAGGGGUAUUUUGGUCUUUCACCACUCUUUUAAACCUCUAUAAAUACCCUAUUCAGCUGAGAACUUGUAUUAUUUUUCUCUCAUUUCUCUUAUAUGUAUAUAUAUAUAUCAAGUUAGGGUUAGGGUUUUGAAUUGGGGGAAAUUAAUUGGAGGCUUUGAUUCAAGAAUUUCUUUCGUCAAUCUUUUCCGGCCACGAAAUCUAAGGUAUGCAAGUGUUUAUCUAUGGACUCCUUUUAUAUAUAUAUAUAUUCUAGACUUUGAUGAUGUAUAUAUAUAUAUAUAUAUGUUGAUUGAUAUUUGAUGGUUCAGAUAUAUGUGAGGAUUAUGGAUGUUACUUGAUGUAUAUAUAUAUGAUGAUUAUGCAUGUUGGUUAAUAUAUAUAUAUGUGUGUGGUGAUGGUGUAUAUUGGUUGAUACAUGCUUGUGAUGAUUAUGUGUGUUGGAUGAGAUAUAUGGGGUGACAAAAAACAUGAGAAUUUGACGAAUUCACUAAUGCCUAUAAGUGCAUGUAAGGUGUUUGUGGAAUUGUCUAAGAGGCUAUAAAUUUACGUUCUUAGGAUAUAAUAAGUUCUAAAUGACUAGACUACUUUCUAUGUAUACGUUCAACAUAAACUCCAUGUUAUUGUCUAAAAUUAGGAAUGUUCUGUGGAAGGCUUAUGAUAUGGUUGUAAGUGCGGAUGAGGGAUUUAGUUGGUGGAAUUAAGAUAAAUGAUGGUGUUUUAGCACAUGUAAUUGUUCGUACUGACCUAUGCGUAAAUGGUGUAUGCAAGGUAAUUGUAGAAAUGCCUAGUUGAAGAAGAAUGGAUCGUAUGACCCCUUGUGAUCGAAUUGAUGAGUUCAUACCAUACUUGCAUGCUACGUGUUUACUAUGAUGCUUGAGGAAAAUGGUAAGUCCAUUAGGCUACUCUAAGUGUGAAAUGUCUAAUUAUGGGUCGAAUUGCAUAUAUCAAGAUCUUAAAGGAAAGAACCUUGAGAACUGAACCAUGAUGUGUUGAAUGUAUGUUAUUUGUGUGAAUCCCGAUUGGAUGAACAAUGUUAUGUUGUAUUCUUUCUUAACCAUAUGCAUCCUUGUUGAAUGAUCUAUGAUGUAAUGGGAUGAGAUCCCAAUACAUGUAUAUAAAUAUGAUCUUCAAAUGAUUGGUGUGAGGUGUUAAUAAAUACAUGGUGCAUGAUGGCCUAUGGGCAUGUGAGUAUGCGUUGUAUACUACGUAUUACUUAUGUUAUUGAUUACUGGGGGUACGUAUUCCCGAAAUAAUCUGCUGGUCUAGAGCUAAGCCAGUUCCGUGAUAAUCUUAGUCGUGCUACGNNNNNNNNNNNNNNNNNNNNNNNNNNNNNNNNNNNNNNNNNNNNNNNNNNNNNNNNNNNNNNNNNNNNNNNNNNNNNNNNNNNNNNNNNNNNNNNNNNNNNNNNNNNNNNNNNNNNNNNNNNNNNNNNNNNNNNNNNNNNNNNNNNNNNNNNNNNNNNNNNNNNNNNNNNNNNNNNNNNNNNNNNNNNNNNNNNNNNNNNNNNNNNNNNNNNNNNNNNNNNNNNNNNNNNNNNNNNNNNNNNNNNNNNNNNNNNNNNNNNNNNNNNNNNNNNNNNNNNNNNNNNCAUAAUAACCUUAUUAUCUUGUUUUCUUGAAUUGAGAUUUUAUGCCAUAAAUUGCAUACCACUACUAUGAAAUUAUUUUUUUUGAGGAUUCUUGAUAUAAGAGCCAUGAUUUGAGUUACAUUACGACAUACAAAAUCUUACUAUGAUUUGAAGAUCUUAAAUUCUUUUCAAAAGCUAUUGUCAUGAUUUGAAUAUUAGAAUGAAAGAAUGAUCAUUUGAGAAUAUUGAUUUGCAUCCGCAAAGUCGGGAUGAUUUAUAUUGAUUUUAAGCUUGCAGAUAUGAAAUGCUGUGUUAUUGAUACCAUGUUGAUAUUGAGGAAAAUUAAAAUAUUUUGAGCUAAAAUGUGUUGAGUUAGGAAUCCACAAAUUGAUAUGAUUUGAUAAAUGAGAAAGAGAUUUGAUUUGGUCUUUAUGAUAGACCCUUGCGAUGUUGUGGUAGAUUUCCAAAGUGAUUUGAUUUGGUCUUUAUGAUAGACCAUUGUGAUGUUGUAGUGGAUUUCCUAAUGCGUUCGAAGCUAGUCGGGGAGUAUUACUUAGCACUGAGAGGAAAAUUUGGUAUUUCCCCAAACCUAUGUGCCACUGUAGGGUUGUUGAUGAUGAUAUUAUUGUUCAGAGAGCCGAAUUGUGAUUAUGAAAUCUUUAAGGUUGUAUUCCCUGGCAAGAGUACAACACUCCCUCCAAUGGGAAUGCUCUCCCUAGAAGGGCAAACGUUGGUAUUCCACGCGGCUCGCGUGGGGUUGUCGGUUAUAGGAAACUCCUCUGUCCAUAAGAGUAUGUUUCUUGAACUAUCAAGUCGCUCCGAGUCUUGAGUUGAUGAGUUUGGUUGUCUAUGAUGAGUCAUGAGAAUUUAUGACGAAUAUUGAUGAUUUUAUAAUGAUUUAUGUGAUUUUACUUAUGCUUUCCUCUCUAUAAUAAUAUGAGAAGUAUGGAUAAUGAAAUUCAAGCCAUGUGAGUCUUCAUUUUCCAUACGUAUGUUUUACGAAAUCAAAGAUAUUAUUGAAAUUAUUGCGUGCACCCCCACAUAUUUAGUUACUUAUGAGAAGUCAUGGUGAGUUAUGUAACUACUUCCCACGAUUUCUGUGUUAGUAUAAAUAUUCAGGAGUCAGGGGUGUGAGUGUAUUCGAUUGAUCAGUGUUGGUAUCCUAUGAUUCAAUAAUGCAGUACCCCAGUACAGUAGUGAGUUCCGAGGACAGUAAAGUGGUAUUCGAGCUGUGGUAUCUGGAGUCGUUAUAAUUGUUAUAGUGGUUGUGAACUAUGCAUUCAUAUAUGUGUACUCAUUUGUUAUCCUCAUGAUUAUUCUGUUGAUUAAAUGUUCAUGCAUAAGCCCUUCCAUUUAGCCUUCCCUGCUUGCAUACUCAGUACAUCUUAGUACUGACGCAUUCGCGCUAUGGUGUUCUUUUAUUUUGGGGCACCAUAGGUUCAGAAGAGUGAAACUUGGAGCAUCUUAGAAGUCACUUGUAUAGCAGUAGUGGGUGCAGCAGUGAG
rnacentral:lncRNA from 1 species